GUUAGGUCCGAAAUGAUGAGAAAGUCAAGAACACAUAUUACAGACUUCUUUUAACCUUUUCCGAAGAUAUUUUUGCACUCGUCGUCUACGUUUACAUACAGCCUUGUCAUCAGCAAGUGUCAUGUUUGUUCCCAAAACCAAGCAAAACGCGCCCACCAUAAAUUGGGUUGCAGUUACAAGAACAGACGCAACUGACUUGUUCGACGUUCCCUCGUGGUGACUGCCAUACUAAACUUGACGUAACAAGCAUAAAAGUAAAACACCAGCCCUUCGCGUCCCACAUCUAUUUCGCCUACGUCGAUACCAGGGAGAUGACUUUGGAAAUUGAAUAACGUAUAUUUCAUAUCAGAAUCAAAUUGACUUCAAUAUAUGGAUCCGG